rnacentral:sRNA from 1 species
CAUAAGAAUUUAAGAUCCCUGGACGUGUGCCUGUACUCACCUACUUGGAGGCUGAGACAGAAGGGUCCCUGAACUCCAGAAGUUCAAAGACAAUCAGUAUAUAACUCACCAGGCCUCCUUCCAAAGCCUCUAAGGUGGUCCAGUUCCACGUGUGUACUGUAUAUCUUAGUUUGCCCUCUUACCGAUUGAAACCCACCUCAGCAAGUAUUUGAUUUUUAGCUAUCAUGUGUAAUAAAGGUAUUUAUGCAGGAAUAAUGAAACAAUAAAACUUGGGUGUGGUGCUGGACCUGUCAUUAAACAGGGUGAACCUGUCAUUAAACCCUCCUCUGAAGAUGUAAAGAUCAAGUGUUGCAUUUCUCCCUAAUCUUCCCAGGGGAGACUGAGUGAACAUAUUGCUUUCCCAUUUUUAAAUGUAACAGUUGAUGCAACAGUGAAAUGGGAAGAGAGCCACACGUCUGUUGCCCAACAACUCUGGGGAGAUGGCUGUGUGAGAAGGCUGGGCAGUUCUUACAAAACAGGGAGUCAGUCAUUCACUGUUGCCAGGGUGCACAGGCAGAAUGGCAAUGGAGGAAGAAAGAGUUUGGUGUUUUGUUAGCAAGUAGAAGAACUAAACCAUCAGUACUGGUGACUGAACAGGCUUUUGUGGAUACUGGGCGAUUGUUCUGCUGUGGGACAGCAUCUCCAGCAAAUGCUGAAGUCGUUAAAAUAUUCACACAAUCACACUGCUUCAUAUAACCUAACAGCGAGCUCUGGGCUUCUCUGAAACUUGCAAAGUAAAAGGUACUUUGUACCAGUAUCUAAGCUACCUUCUGUAUAGAUCCUGUUUCUGGGGAUAAAAACAUUUAUAAAUGAGAAAAUGCAAAAGAAUUGUUUUCCUUUGAGGAAAACACAAGAAAAUCACGACAAUACCGGGGGAAAGCCAAUGAGUAGACUGACAGAAUUUUCCACGAGGAAGAAGUGGGAGUUUUACUCCUUAAGUUGAAGGAAAAGCGUUUGGGGUAGGGGCAUUGCUUGUCAAGUGCGCGAUCGCAGUCACCAGCACCAAGGACAGCGACAACCCAUCCUGCUGGGCCGGGUGGUCCUUAUCCUCAGCAAACAAUUCUAGGGGCACCAACUUUGAUGGUUUAAUGCCCCCUCCCCCACCUGCCACCACCUGUAAUCCCAGCAUCCAGGAAGCUGUGGCAGGAGGACUGUGGCAAGUUUAAGGCCAGCCUGGACUACAGGGUGAGGCCUUGUUUUAAAAGAUCACAAGCAAAAUAACAGGAAACGCCCAUAAAGAAACUCAGUGGGCUUUCCCCACAAAAGCCAACCUGCUCAACUUGUUUUCCAGGUAUUAUUGUAUUAUGUAACAUUAUCUCUAUAAAGAAUAAUAGUCACUAUAUUUGAAAGAAGGAAAACAAACAAACAAACAAACAAAUAUUCUAUUUCCUGUUCCAAGUGGCUUUACAGUACUAUUGCAUUCUCCUUCCUUAAAGGGUCCUAUGUAACACACACAGGUAUCAAAACUUUACAGAUAAGACAGAACAAUGAGAAAAAUAAGGAACUUGUGCAUUCCCUAGUCAUUGGAGGUGGGAUCGGAGCUGUGUGGCUUCAGAGCCUCUGCUAUCUCCACACUAAGUAGUGUGUAGCAGCGUCUGUCUAUGGUAGGCUCCAAAGGAAAGAAGCAAUACAAUGGCAAACAAUUAUUUUCUACACUACUUUUUUUUCCCAGAUAGAUCACACCAUAGCCACCCAUAAUAGACUCAAAGAAUGGUAUUUCGUAUGGACUACCGAUAUGAUAUGCAUUUGUCUCCAACAACAGAGUGAAAUCAUCAAGUAUUUGAUAUGUCUCCGGAGCCCAGGUGGUUCCAGGAUGAAGGACAACCUGGUGUGUGUGACCCAGAAUCAGUGAGAGAUGAAUCAGGAUGGGGCAUGGUUCCAACAGAAAUAUGUUAGCUGUAUCUUGGUCAAGUGCAGGACUCAUUAAGUGAGGAGAAAGAAAAAAAAAAAAACAAAUGAUAAACUGGCUUUAAAUUUGGAGAUCAGGAGGAGGGAGUGAGUACAAUGAGUUCUAGUAUUGUAUAUCGUGAAGAUCACCGAGGAUUUCUU